AAGUCGUAACAAGGUUUCCGUAGGUGAACCUGCGGAAGGAUCAUUAAUGAUUUUAAGGAUGUGCUGGCUCCUUUCAGAGCAAACUGUGCACUCCGAAAAACCCUUCCAUUUUCCUCACCCUUGUGCACUUUUGGAGCUAGACAAGAGAAAGUGAAUGCUUUUUCUGUUUAUGCUCUAUUUUUACAAACACAAAAUCUUUUCAAAGAAUGUGAAACUGUGUUGACUUUAACCAGUCAUGCAAAAUGUAAUACAACUUUCAACAACGGAUCUCUUGGUUCUC
rnacentral:misc_RNA from 1 species